rnacentral:rRNA from 1 species
CCCUUAGAUGUUCUGGGCGGCCCGCGCACUACAAUGGCGUGUGCAGCGAGUGCCGAAGUAGAGUUUUCCGAGGUAUUCUUGCAAUGCUCGUUUUGAUGGGGAUAGACCCUUGCAACUGUUGGUUUUGAACGAGGAAUUCCUUGUAAGCAUGGUUUAUCAUCCGACGCUGAAUGCGUCCCUGCCCUUUGUACACGCCGCCCGUCGCUCCUACCGAUGAGUCGUCCGGUGAAGUUCGUAGACCUCGUGAUCGCGGAUCACUGGGGGAAGCAAAAUGAACCUCGCGGUUUAGAGGAAGGAGAAGUCGUAACA